rnacentral:rRNA from 1 species
ACAACGUUUCGAAAGGAACGCUAGUACCGCAUACGUCCUACGGGAGAAAGCAGGGGACCUUCGGGCCUUGCGCUAUCAGAUGAGCCUAGGUCGGAUUAGCUAGUUGGUGAGGUAAAGGCCUACCAAGGCGACGAUCUGUAGCGGGUCUGAGAGGAUGAUCCGCCACACUGGGACUGAGACACGGCCCAGACUCCUACGGGAGGCAGCAGUGGGGAAUUUUGGACAAUGGGGGCAACCCUGAUCCAGCCAUGCCGCGUGCGGGAAGAAGGCCUUCGGGUUGUAAACCGCUUUUGUCGGAAAAGAGAUCUUCUGGGCUAAUACCCCGGGAGGAUGACGGUACCGGCAAUAUAAGCAGCGGCUAACUAUGUGCCAGCAGCCGCGGUAAUACGAAUCACUAGUGAAUUCGCGGCCGCCUGCAGGUCGACCAUAUGGGAGAGCUCCCAA